rnacentral:rRNA from 1 species
CCCGGGUUACUUUGAAAAAAUUAGGGUGUUUCAGGCAGGCUAAGUAAACGGCUUGAAUAGUCUAACAUGGAAUAGCGAGAAUCUUGUACUCCGGUUCUUUUCUCGUGCUGGUCUCUAGAACUUUUGUGAGCCAUGGCUAAGAGGGACAGACGGGGGCAGAAGUACUACGGCGUGAGAGGUGAAAUUCCAGGACCGCCGUAAGACUGCCGACUGCGAAAGCAUUUGCCCAGAAUGUUUUCAUUAGUCAAGAACGAAAGUCGGUGUAGCGAAGAGGAUCAGAUACCCUCCUAGUACUGACCGUAAACGAUGCCAAUUGGAGGUCGGCGGAAGCAACUUGCUAAUAGUACUCUUUUGGCGCCGUCGGAGUCCCUCGGGAAACCAGAGUGUCUGGGUUCUGGGGGUAGUAUGGUUGCAAAGCUGAAACUUAAAGGUAUUGACGGAAGGGCACCACAAGGAGUGGAGCUUGCGGCUUAAUUUGACUCAACGCGGGGCAACUCACCUGGUCCGGACACUGCGGGGAUUGACAGAUUGAGAGCUCUUUCAUAAUUCGGUGGGUGGUGGUGCAUGGCCGUUCUUAGUACGUGGUGCAAACUGUCAGGUUAAAUCCGCUAACGUACGCGACUCUGUCCUAUUUACUAGAGCUGGUCGAUGAUAAUAAGUCGCCGAUGCGAGGGACUUCUUAGAGGGAUCCAUUGCGUGGGAGAAGCGGAUGAAAUAGAGCAAUAACAGGUCUGUGAUGCCCUUAGAUGUUCAGGGCCGCACGCGCGCUACACUGAAAAGC